rnacentral:lncRNA from 1 species
GUCCUACAAAGGAUAAUUUGGCCAUCUUUCCUUGAAGGCAGAAUUAACAAAUCGAAUAUGACUCGAAAGUCAAUGAGCCCAAAAGUUCAUGUUUCUCCAAUUUGUUUAUUCUGUCUUCUCCUAUAUGGCCAAGCCUGAGGUGCCACAAAUACUUUAGAUUUAUCUCAUUUCUAGAUCUAUUAGAUCCUAUGGUAUUCACUGUUUGCUCAGAUACAUUCACAGAUACAUCCAUAUGUAUGUGAUAGAGACUGUCAAUCAUAAAACCACGUUGAAUCAAUUUAUUUCUCAAAUAAAUGGAACAGUAGUCUUAUAAAAAUUUUUCUGUGCUAAACAAGAUAUAGAAAUCAAAUUUCUGCUAGC